rnacentral:rRNA from 1 species
GAGCGCCGCCACAUACGGUGCGGCAGACGGGAGAGUACCCGUGGGACACGUGCCCUUUGGUUCGGAACAACCCAUGUAAACUUGGGCUAAUACCGGAUAAGCCCUUGCGGGGAAAGAUUUAUCGCCGAAGGAUCGGCCCGCGUCUGAUUAGCUAGUUGGUGGGGUAAUGGCCCACCAAGGCGACGAUCAGUAUCUGGUCUGAGAGGAUGAUCUGCCUCACUGGGACUGAUACACGGCCCAUACUCCUACGGGAGGCAUCAGUGGGGAAUAUUGGACAAUGGGCGCAAGCCUGAUCCAGCCAUGCCGCGUGGGUGAUGAAGGCCCUAUGGUUGUAAAGCCCUUUCGGCGGGGAAGAUAAUGACUGUAUCCGUAGAAGAAGCCCCGGCUAACUUCGUGCCAUCAGCCGCGGUAAU